UACGAAGGGGGCUAGCGUUGCUCGGAACCACUGGGCGUAAAGCGCACGUAGGCGGGUUCUUAAGUCAGGGGUGAAAUCCUGGAGCUCAACUCCAGAACUGCCUUUGAUACUGGGAAUCUCGAGUCCGGGAGAGGUGAGUGGAACUGCGAGUGUAGAGGUGAAAUUCGUAGAUAUUCGCAAGAACACCAGUGGCGAAGGCGGCUCACUGGCCCGGUACUGACGCUGAGGCACGAAAGCGUGGGGAGCAAACAGG
rnacentral:rRNA from 1 species